UUUGCCAAUAUCUCUAAAUUUUAGGUUCUCUCUGCUGAACACCUAUCUUGUAUUGCGUCUCCAAGUCCCGAACUUGUCCAUCAAAUCAUUGAUUUUAAUAGAUAGGAUUGGUAUAUCUGAGUAGCUGUUGCAUUUGUGUGGCUAAAUUAUUUGAUCAAAUCAUUUUGUUUAGGAUCUAAAGAUGCCAGCUGAAGCUAAUAAUCUUCCCGACAGCGAGGCCGUGCCAUCAAGUCUUCCAGAGGUCUCACCAAUCCUUCGCGUGGCCCAUAAAAUACAUCCCACACAUCCUCGGAUUGCUUACCUAUGUGUGCUUGCUGCACUUGAAGAGUCGCUAAUCGUUUGCUCCUUGAACUGUCCAAUUGAUGUUUUCAAGUUUAAGAAUUCUCUUUGGUAUUGGACUAAAACUAUAUAAUGAUGAAACACACGGGGAUGGAAAAGUGAGGCCUAGUGAUGCACGUGAUAUGCAGAAUUUCUAUCUCGAGUAUUACGAGAAAAACAUCCAAGCUUUGUUCAAGUUUCUUGAAGACAACCGAUAUUUUGAAGGAUAUGGCCCAGGGCCCAUGCCUCUCUGGCCUACUCCUACAGACGGCUUACAACCUUCCAGAACUUUCAGUGUCAGAGCUGACAGGUCUUUUU